rnacentral:rRNA from 1 species
AGGGAAUCUUCCACAAUGGACGGAAGUCUGAUGGAACAACGCCGCGUGAGUGAUGAAGGUUUUCGGAUCGUAAAACUCUGUUGUAAGGGAAGAACCAGUACGUCAGGCACUGGACGUAACUUGACGGUACCUUAUUAGAAAGCCACGGCUAACUACGUGCCAGCAGCCGCGGUAAUACGUAGGUGGCAAGCGUUGUCCGGAAUUAUUGGGUUUAAAGGGAGCGUAGGCGGACUAUUAAGUCAGCUGUGAAAGUUUACGGCUCAACCGUGAAAUUGCAGUUGAAACUGGUCGUCUUGAGUGCAGUAAAGGUGGGCGGAAUUCGUGGUGUAGCGGUGAAAUGCUUAGAUAUCACGAAGAACUCCAAUUGCGAAGGCAGCUCACUGGCGUGUAACUGACGCUGAUGCUCGAAAGUGUGGGUAUCAAACA